rnacentral:rRNA from 1 species
GGAUCGGCCCGCGUUAGAUUAGUUAGUUGGUGGGGUAAUGGCCUACCAAGACUACGAUCUAUAGCUGGUUUGAGAGGAUGAUCAGCAACACUGGGACUGAGACACGGCCCAGACUCCUACGGGAGGCAGCAGUGGGGAAUCUUAGACAAUGGGGGCAACCCUGAUCUAGCGAUGCCGCGUGAGUGAUGAAGGCCUUAGGGUCGUAAAGCUCUUUCGCCUGUGAUGAUAAUGACAGUAGCAGGUAAAGAAACCCCGGCUAACUCCGUGCCAGCAGCCGCGGUAAUACGGAGGGGGUUAGCGUUGUUCGGAAUUACUGGGCGUAAAGCGCACGUAGGCGGAUUAGUCAGUCAGAGGUGAAAUCCCAGGGCUCAACCCUGGAACUGCCUUUGAUACUGCUAGUCUUGAGUUCGAGAGAGGUAAGUGGAAUUCCGAGUGUAGAGGUGAAAUUCGUAGAUAUUCGGAGGAACACCAGUGGCGAAGGCGGCUUACUGGCUCGAUACUGACGCUGAGGUGCGAAAGUGUGGGGAGCAAACAGGAUUAGAUACCCUGGUAGUCCCACCGUAAACGAUGAAUGCCAGUCGUCGGGUAGCAUGCUAUUCGGUGACACACCUAACGGAUUAAGCAUUCCGCCUGGGGAGUACGGUCGCAAGAU